CUAGUAGUACACAUAUAAAUGAAGAGAUCUAACACAUAAAACACAUAAAUCAACAACAAAAUCUCUAGAUACAUGCUGGUCAAAUCUUGUCAGAAACCGUGUUCAUAGAUUUUCUGGGUUUCCCAGAAAACCGUAAACGUGAACUACUUAGCUACUUUGACCGGUUACUACUUUCAUCCAGUUUGAUGUACAGGUGAUAUAAAGGCAUGAGGUUGAAGUCCAUCUAACAUACUAUAACACUGAUAUAACAACAUAUACAAAACACGUAUAACCUGCAAGAUCAAAGCCAAAGAACAAGCUGUCAGACCGACCUGGGAAAUUCUGGGUUACCCAGAAAAAGGAAAGUCAUGGUCGGUCAACUAUGUUUGACCAGUCAUAACUUUCGAUCUGUUCAUGUUCUGACUUUGAUUCAAGUUCCAAAUCCAAGAUCUCAUUGCAUAAUACACGAUCAAAGCUUUAAACAACAAAAACACAUAACAUACAAAGGUUUACAGGGUCUGACAUUACGUUGUCAGACACGCAUAAAUUUUUCCCAGAUUUUCUUAAAACUUGAUUUCGAGCAUAUUAAUGUUAUGGAUCUAGGAAGUAACAACCAAGAUCACUUAGUUAGACUACAAACAACAUGUUUUAACAUAAAAUCAUAACAUAUAACACAUUGAUCAAGAUCAGAUUUCUAGUUUAGGGUUUAUACUUCAGUUUAAAAAAUUUGGAUUCUAGGCUUCUGAUUUUGCUAGUGGAUUUUGUGGGGCUUUGUUUUGGAACUGAAAUGCCUUAUAAUUUCAUAGGUUUUGAAAGAGAGAGGAUUGGUUGAGUGUUUGGUCAAAAAAAAAACUUAAAAUGAAUUUUCUCUCUCUCUUUGAUCCUAUAAAUGUCUUGUAUGCAAUGUAUAUGGCUGGUAGAUUGGCUAAGUUGUAUCUAUAUCAUUCAGAUGGGGUUGGUAAGAGUGGUUGAACAAUUCAAAUUUUGCUAGAUUUACAAGUAAACUUCAAUUAUACAAUAAGGGCAAAAUGGUCUUUUGUCUUUCAAAUUUAAUGGCAAGCUUGUAACUUGUCAAACCCUUAGUGUUUGAUCCUUAGGGUUUAACCCUAAGAUUUAGCACAAAAUUGUAGGAUUUCCAACUUGGGUUUAAAAUAAAAAAAAUAGUCUCUAAAUAAAAAUUAGGGUUUUCCUUAAUUAGAUUAGGUUUCUAAUUACAUUAUACAGGAACAUUAGGG
rnacentral:lncRNA from 1 species